GACGAACCGUGCAAACGUUAUUCGGAAUCACUGGGCUUAAAGGGCGCGUAGGCGGGCGAUCAAGUCCGGGGUGAAAUCCUCCAGCUUAACUGGAGAAGUGCCUCGGAUACUGACCGCCUCGAGGAGGGUAGGGGCAUCUGGAACUAGCGGUGGAGCGGUGAAAUGCGUUGAUAUCGCUAGGAACUCCGAUGGCGAAGGCAAGGUGCUGGACCCUUUCUGACGCUGAGGCGCGAAAGCCAGGGGAGCAAACGGG
rnacentral:rRNA from 1 species